rnacentral:rRNA from 1 species
AUUGAACGCUGGCGGCAGGCUUAACACAUGCAAGUCGAGCGGAGCGAGGGUGCUUGCACCUUAGCUUAGCGGCGGACGGGUGAGUAAAGCUUAGGAAUCUGCCUAUUAGUGGGGGACAACAUUCCGAAAGGGAUGCUAAUACCGCAUACGCCCUACGGGGGAAAGCAGGGGAUCUUCGGACCUUGCGCUAAUAGAUGAGCGUAAGUCGGAUUAGCUAGUUGGUGGGGUAAAGGCCUACCAAGGCGACGAUCUGUAGGGGGUCUGAGAGGAUGGUCCGCCACACUGGGACGGAGACACGGCCCAGACUCCUACGGGAGGCAGCAGUGGGGAAUAUUGGACAAUGGGGGGAACCCUGAUCCAGCCAUGCCGCGUGUGUGAAGAAGGCCUUUUGGUUGUAAAGCACUUUAAGCGAGGAGGAGGCGCUCUAGGCUAAUACCCUAGAUGCGUGGACGUUACUCGCAGAAUAAGCACCGGCUAACUCUGUGCCAGCAGCCGCCGUAAUAC